UUUCGUGAUGGCUACUACAAUGAUUUGUCUUGAAUUUAACUGCCUUUCGUGUGCCUGGGAAAUGCAGAUUUGCCUGAGGUUGUACAAGAAAGUAACUCUGAGAAUGUGAAUGCAACUCCGCCCCAGACUAUUCAAGCAAGCCACUCUCAGAACAUAACUGAAAAUGAAUGUCUAAGGCAAGUUUUACUCCUUCGAGAGAACUUCCAUAAUCUCCAUUGUUUCUUUUUACAUGACUGUUUGAGGUCUUCUCAUUCUUGGAACUUAUGUUUCAGGUCUUCUGCCCAGGAUGUAAUCGGUGCACCCAGUCAAGCCCAGAAUGCUAGGUCAAAUAUUGAUAUUUCAUUGACACCCCAGCAGAACUUUUGCUUGUCGGAUAUGAUGGCUAGCUACAGUAGGAGUCAUUAUGAGUAUGCUGGUGGUACACGCUCAAUCUGUGGCAACAACCAGUGGUCAUGGCCAUCACCGCCGCAGCCAACAUACCUAGCUAAUUUCACACCUCGUCCUAGUUCGUUUUCACCGGGAUCAGUGAACGUUCAUCCAAUACACCAUUUGUAUAACACAGCCGCAUUUGGAUGGAUGACGCAUCCACCUCCAUCACAGGCAUUUGUGCUGCCAAUACCUUUUAGCACACAGUUGCCGUCAAUGCUUCCUCCGGUGGCUGGUCACUCUCUUGGUAGCGGACGCCAAGUGCCACAUCGACACUCACCUUAUGAACAUCCCUGGCAAAUUGCUUAUCCUUACUAGCUACUAGGUGGCGUACCAUGCAUAUACUGCAUUGUUGGGACGUUAACUCUGGUUCAGAGAUGGUUUGGAGUUGUGGUGGCAUCGAAUAUAUACACCGAGGGGAGGAAUGGGGAAAUAGCAGUGGCAGGCGAAAUGGAUAAAUCCAGGGGCAUCAACCUGUGACAUGUGCUUAAAUCGUGGCAAACCAUAAAGCAGGGUAGUGUUACUACAUUUUUCACAUGCAACCACGAGUCUCCUGUGGCUGUCGGAGCAGCUCUUCCCUGUGCCAGACAUUGCUCCACCAAUGCUGACAGAUCAAGAUGAUAGAUAAACAAACAAUCAGUGGUUGGCAGCCAAGGCAAGGAGUAGUGGAGGACCUUCCAGCUGAAUCCUGAGACGAAAUACUGACGGUGAACUCGCCGUCAGUAUUGCUACACUGAUUCUGACAGAUCAAGAUGAUAGAUAAACAAAUAAUCAGUGGUUGGCAGCCAAGGCAAGGAGGAGUGGAGGACCUUCCAGCUGAAUUCUCAGGGGAAAUACUGACGUGAACUCGCAUGUCAUGGUGCUUUUCUGCUCCUGCGAAGGGUUUGUUCGUAUUCGCAGAAGGUACAGGAUUCAGACCCCCAUGUCAUGGUUCCCUUCGGUCGACGUUUGUCUGCAAAGAAGAACACAACCGUUGCUUCCGGUUCGCUGAGUGUUGCUCGAGUGCAAAAGCCUGCAAUGCUCCAAGUUGAGGACUCCACCAUGCAAAGCUACUUUUGGCGUUGCUUUCACCCUUGGUUUAUCCGUGCUGGUCUAAUUGCACUGCAGUUCUGCAUACAUCCAAUGUUUGUGUAGUCCAUCUGUGCCCUUUGUAUUGUUUGGUAGAAGACAACUACGAGGGUACUACCAAAGGAUCACGAGGGUAAUAUGUUUUUUU